rnacentral:lncRNA from 10 species
AAAGGAAUUGAAUUCUUGGAAGAUGAGGCUGGAAAAUUUCAUCGUCAUUACGUCAACAUGCUAACAGAUGGUCUGCAAAGCACUUCUCAGGUUUCAUUCAGUAUUUCUGUGAAGAAGCCAGGGGAUCAUGAUGUUCUACUGUGAGAAUGACAGAAAGAGCAAACAAGAACACCUGGGUUACACGAGCUGACUUGCUUCUCUUCAAUGGACAGUAUGAACACAGAGAAAAGAAUUCUACAAAAAAGAACAACAGAGAACAAGACAGAGAUCUUGGAGAACAAGAAUAUGACCAUCAAUAGAAGGAUGGGAAGAUAACGGCCAAACGGUAGACGAACACAACAUGGGAUUCCAUUCUUGUCCUGAGAAACUCCCUAGGCAUUGGAAUAUAGAAGAUGAGCUAGCCUAUCCUGACUGAAACAGCAUCUCUUGGAAUUCAGGGACUUUCUUCAUCCCUGACUACAUGCAUCAGACUUAAUUAGAUGCACAAAAUCUGGAUGACUUUCACAACACUAAAGUAAUUUUACUUUCUAAUUCAUAAUAUUUGCUGAUUCAUAUUAUUACUUUUGUUAUAAUAGAAAUAAAUUGAAUACUGCAUCCUGUAAA